rnacentral:rRNA from 1 species
UACGAAGGGUGCAAACGUUGCUCGGAAUCAUUGGGCGUAAGCGCACGUAGGCGGCUUCAAAGUCGGAUGUGAAAUCCCUCGGCUCAACCGAGGACGUGCAUCGAACUGUGAGGCUUGAGUACUGAAGAGGAUCGUGGAAUUCCUGGUGUAGCGGUGAAAUGCGCAGAUAUCAGGAGGAACACCAUGGCGAAGGCAGCUCGCUGGACGGUACUGACGCUGAGACGACGAAGCGUGGGGAGCAAACAGG